ensembl:misc_RNA Metazoa_SRP Metazoan signal recognition particle RNA
GCUGGGCGUGGUGGCGUGCGCCUGUAGUCCCAGCUACUCAGGAGGCUGAGACAGGAGAAUUGCUUGAACCUGGGAGGCAGAGGUUGCAGUGAGCCGAGAUCGCGCCACUGCACUCCAUCCUGGGUAACAGCGAGAUUCUGUCUCAA